ACAGGUAAGAAAGCUCAAGGCCCAGAUGGUGGAGUGAAUUGUCCAAGGAUUGACAGAACUGGGACUGGAAUCCACACAUUUUGGUUCCUGGGACCCUGUUUUAUCCAAGAACCUUGCACAUAAAAUGGCCUGACUUUGUGCUUUCUACUUCCUGCUCCUCUCAAACUAGAAAUGGCUUGCAGGAGCUCCAAAGUAAAAGAUCAGAGCGACUAGUCUAAGCCACCGCAGGGUGGCUUCUGUCCUGACCCCUCACACCUGGGCCUUUCACUGGGAGAGGGCGGAGAAGCCGCUGUUGGGGUCCAGCCUGAUCCCAGCGGCAGGGGAGGGAGGUGGCUGUUCCUGUUGGCUGUCUGAGCCGGGCAGUGGGCUGCUGGCCUAUUCCUGGGGCCUCCAGCAGACUUGUGAAGAGCUGCUGCCAAAAUGGAAGAGUCAAAACAGCCCCCGGAGAUGGGAGAGGAAGCAUUUAGAGAAGAGGUAAACAAGAGAAGCGACAGACUUCUCACUCUAGCAAAAGGCACUUUGGUUUACUUGUGAAACUUCACUCCUCCUCUUCCCCCAGCCUUAAAUUUGUAAAGCUGGUCCAGGCUCCAAGAGAUGGCCCAUGAUUUUAAAGCCUGAGUUCUGAGGACCAUAUUGGUCUUGCUGUGUUUUUGGCACCCAGGGUGGUGAUGUCCUGACUUAAAUUCCAGCUAACAGCGGAGGCUAAACCCGCUGACUGACUCCAGUGUCUAAUAUUAGUCAUAUUGUUACUAUUUUUAUUAGUAGCUAACAUUUAUCUGCUACUCACCCCUGUCAGGCAUGGCAUUGCGUUAAGCCCUUAACCUGACCCCCUUAAUUCCUUGUCUUCAC
rnacentral:lncRNA from 1 species